rnacentral:lncRNA from 1 species
AACAAGUUAGAGUUGAUGCUAACAAAUCCAACCAUACAUGACCAAGAAAAUGACAUGAUGAUGCAAACAAAAUCCAAGUCAUGACCAAAACAAUCAACCAAAAGAAAACCACACCAUUGCAAUGAUUUUGCAUCAACCAGAUCAUGAACCAAACUUGAAAUCAACAUGAAACUUGCAGCAACCUACAAUGCAUCGAACCUUCAACC